rnacentral:rRNA from 1 species
CCUACGGGCGGCAGCAGUGGGGAAUAUUGGACAAUGGGCGAAAGCCUGAUCCAGCCAUGCCGCGUGUGUGAAGAAGGCCUUCGGGUUGUAAAGCACUUUCAGUGGGGAAGAAAGCCUUGGGGCUAAUACCCUCGAGGAAGGACAUCACCCACAGAAGAAGCACCGGCUAACUCCGUGCACAGCAGCCGCGGUAAUACGGAGGGUGCGAGCGUUAAUCGGAAUUACUGGGCGUAAAGCGCGCGUAGGCGGUCUGAUAAGCCGGUUGUGAAAGCCCCGGGCUCAACCUGGGAACGGCAUCCGGAACUGUCAGGCUAGAGUGCAGGAGAGGAAGGUAGAAUUCCCGGUGUAGCGGUGAAAUGCGUAGAGAUCGGGAGGAAUACCAGUGGCGAAGGCGGCCUUCUGGACUGACACUGACGCUGAGGUGCGAAAGCGUGGGUAGCAAACAGGAUUAGAUACCCUGGUAGUC